GUCGGGGUGGCUCAGCCUGGGGGAGCGUCGGACUCAUAAUCCGGAGGUCGCGGGUCCAAAUCCCGCCCCCGACA
rnacentral:tRNA from 1 species